GGAAGUAAAAGUCGUAAUAAGGUUUCCGUAGGUGGACCUGCGGAAGGAUCAUUAAAGUUAUAGUCCCCCGGCCCCUCCGGGCUGGGGUCUUCUAUACCACCCUUUGUUUAUUACACCUUUGUUGCUUUGGCAGGCCUGCCCUCGGGCUGCUGGCUCCGGCCGGCUCGUGCCUGCCAGAGGACCCAAACUCUGUUUGUAUAUGAAGUCUGAGUACUAUAUAAUAGUUAAAACUUUCAACAACGGAUCUCUUGGUUCUG
rnacentral:misc_RNA from 1 species